GGGGAAUUUUGGACAAUGGGCGCAAGCCUGAUCCAGCAAUGCCGCGUGAGUGAAGAAGGCCUUCGGGUUGUAAAGCUCUUUUGUCAGGGAAGAAACGGUGAUUUCUAAUACAGAUUGCUAAUGACGGUACCUGAAGAAUAAGCACCGGCUAACUACGUGCCAGCAGCCGCGGUAAUACGUAGGGUGCAAGCGUUAAUCGGAAUUACUGGGCGUAAAGCGUGCGCAGGCGGUUUUGUAAGUCUGUCGUGAAAUCCCCGGGCUCAACCUGGGAAUGGCGAUGGAGACUGCAAGGCUAGAAUCUGGCAGAGGGGGGUAGAAUUCCACGUGUAGCAGUGAAAUGCGUAGAUAUGUGGAGGAACACCGAUGGCGAAGGCAGCCCCCUGGGCUAAGAUUGACGCUCAUGCACGAAAGCGUGGGGAGCAAACA
rnacentral:rRNA from 1 species